rnacentral:lncRNA from 1 species
GAAGCUGCAGCAGUGCUGGAUCCUUAACCACUGUGCAGGGGAUCAAACCUGCAUCCCAGUGCUCCCAAGACACCACUGAUCCCGUUGUGCCACAGUAGGAACUCCUAUAGUAGUUAUUUUAAAUGGGAAACUUUUCUUUUUCAUUCUCUUUGAUACUGAUAUUAUGAAUGACAUACAAAUAUAUACUGAAUUUUUGUGUAAUCAAGUAUAGCCAAUUUAUUAAUUUAUUUUUAUAAAGUAUUUAUUUGCUGAUUUACUUAGGUUUUCCUCAGUGAAUAAUUGUGUCAUCGAUACAAAAAUAAUUUUGAUAAUUUUGCCUCUUCUUUUCCAAUGUAUACAUUUAUCUUUUGCUGUUUUAUUUCAUUUGCUAGAAUUUCUAGAAAAAUACAGAAUAAUAGUUUUAGUGGGGGUUUGGUCUUAUCUUCAUCUUAGGUGAACAUGGUUUUAAUAUUUUCCUGGUUCUGAGUUUCUGGCAGAUUAUAAUUUCAAGAAAAAGCAUAUUUAGUUUCAUUUACUAAGAAAUUUACUGGAAAUGGAUGUUGAUAUUCUUAAAUUAAUUUAAAAUAUUCUUGAUGUUAAUUUUUAGAAGGUCUUUUUAAUAUAGUAAAUAUCUAUAAAAUAGAAAUUAUAUAGAAGCUUUAUAAUAUCUUAACUUAUUUUUGGUUGUGCCUCCCAAAAGAAUUCCCUAAAAUAAAUAAGUUAAUUGUCAGUUACUAGUUCUGUCAAAUCUGGGUUUCCCUUUCAACAUAUCUGGACAGAUAACCUCCAAGGAGAUCUGCUAAGAAUACUUUUUUGUCUUUUUACGGCUGCCCCUGCAGCCUAUGGAAGUUCCUGGGCGUGGAGCUGAAGUAAAGCUGCAGCUGCUGGCCUAUGCCAUAGCCACAACAAUGUGGGAUCCAAGCCACAUCUGUGACCUAAACUGCAGCCUGCAGCAAUGCUGGAUCCUUAACCUACUGAGCGAGGCUAGCGAUUGAUCUUACAUCCUCACAGACACUAUCUUGGGUCCUUAACCUGCUGAGCAACAAUGGGAACUCUAAAAAUAUUUUUUAAACAUUUUAGAAAUAGAAGUAACAUUGUUUAAAAAAAUUAAAGAUAUAAAUAAAAGUAAAAAAUUCAUAAAAACUCAUAUACUAAUAAACAUAGAUAAUUACUAGUCAAUAUUGCGUACUUGGUUUUUUUAUAUAUGUUUUCUUUCUUCUUUCUAAUAUAUGUGUAUAAAAUACAUUAAAAAUAGAAUAUCUUUUAUAUCCUGCUUUCUAAAUAGGAUAAAAAAAAUAGGAGUUAUUGUAGAAAGUAUAAAAAGAAGGUUUAGAAUUGCUCAAACUGGUAAAUCUUCAUAAAUUUUCCUAUGACCCACUCUUAGAGUCUGGCACUGUUUUCAACAUCAACAUGAUAUUCUUCCAGGAAAAAAAAAGAAUUGAAAAAAUUUCCCAUUAUAAAAUACUACAGAAUAUCUGAAAAGUAGCAAAAUUUAUUUAAUAUUUUUGAAAAGCAAAUAAAAAGAAUGUAGUAUUACAUUAGACCUAAAGAUCUAAUAUUUAUCAGAUCACUUGCCCUAUGGAAAACCAAUGUAGCACAAGGUAGAAUCAAUAGGAUUAUCAGAGAAGGGUCAGUUUGCAUUAUAGAAUUCAAUGCUGAUUCAUAAUGCAAAAGCAUUGUCAUCAAGCUGUGGUAGAAAGCAUUCUUUAUCACUCCAAAAAAAAAAAAACCAAAAAGCCCUAAUAGUGUCUGUUAAAACUAUUUGACUCCUGGUUUCAGGCAAAGAUUUGUAAAACUUAAUGUCUCAUUUAUUGCAAACAUAUUACCACAGGGAAGAAAAUAUUGAAUUUUUUAGGUCCACUAUUCAUAAAUUAACUAUCUAGUGAUAAAAGCUACAAACAAGAUCAUUCACAGAAAUUGGUUAUUUUCUUAACAAUGGAAGAUGGAUUUGCAUACUGCCUUAGAAUGAGGUAAGUUGAUUCUUCUGUUUACCCACAGGCUAUCAUCUAACAGUUCCACUGCUAAUGAUUAUAGAUAAAGACAUUUGUAUCAGCCUUCUCUCAGUAAUGCUUGGAACUAAAGCAAUUCAUCAAUAAGCCAUUUGUUCCCUUUUUUGAAUUAAACAAUCUGUUAGGAUAUUCUUUUCCAUCAGAGAAGAAAUAUGGAUUCUAUUUCCCAGAAUGUAAAUAAUUUUUGACUCUCCAUGUCUGAAAUGUUUCCGCUUAGACUUGACAAGCGCCUUUUCAGAAGGUGAUGCCGUCCUAAAGGUUAAAGUGGAUGAAGUGCAGGUAUAUGAGCCCGGUUUUCCUACUGCAGCAGUAAAAUGAGAGAUAAUCAAUAGGUGAAUGGAUAUUAGAUGCUCAUUUUAGAAACCAUGGGAUUCAAACAUGAGAUCAGGCUUUACUACAUAAAGACAAUUGAACUAUGGUAAACUGCAUAGUUGUUUGGCCAAAGUGGAACUGCCUGAUCCCAGGGCACUCCUCCACCUUACAUUUGCUUGAUGCACUGAAAUUCUCACAAAUAUGCCUCUUAAGGAGCACAGCAGUACUUUCAUAAGUGAAAUUCCAAGGUGAAGCCUGGGUUUGGCCAGAAGGAGAUUCUGAGAAAAUGAAAGAAAAUGAUGGAAGGCAACCUCCAGAAAGGCUAGGUGGCCAUAUUUUAACAGGGAUACAAUGUUAUAUCCUAAAAGUCAUUUUAAAAAAAAAACACGGUAUUUUGAGAAACUCUACAUAUGUGCAGGAUGAUUCUACACAGGCAAUACAAUAGGUAAAGCACUUAUAGAACAAACCCAAUCAACAUACAAAGUAAUCAGACGACUGAGGUCUCAACAGUAGGUGUCCCUGUUUUGCCCAAAUAAACCAGGAAGAAAGUAUCCUAAAACUACUUAUUGCCCUAAAUUUGGCCCUAUGACCCCUGGUAUCCCACAGUUGGCUUGGCUUGUGACACAGAUUUUGGUUCCGACCUUCUAUCAUGGAUGCAGAUGUGGUUUCCUCUCUGGCCCCAUCACUCACCAAAGACACUUGUUCCAAACCUAGAGAUCUGGCCUGUUGCCUAGAUUUUGAGAUCUGAGUUGGUUCAGGAUUAAAACUGUUAAAGAAACAGACAUUUUGGAAUGACUGCUACUGCCAGGUUUGGUUCUUAUUGCCCACUUGAAAUGCUACUGGAGGAAACCUUGUGGUUACCAAUAUUUACCCAUGGCCUUGCCUUAGUGACAGUUCCUCCCUGGGGCAAGGAAAUUUGUCAGUCCUGUAGAGCUACAUAUUGACAUGUUUGGAUAGCGAUAGUGGACAUUUUAGAGGUGGUACUUGCACAUAAUUUUGACUAUGGAAUGGUAAAUCUCUCCCUGGAAACACAAAUCCAGGAAAAGAUGUGGAGAUAGGUGUUCUCUAAAAAACACACAUUUUCCAACCUACAGGGGAGGAGGCUCAUUACAGCCCAUCACAAAGACAAGCCCAUUGAUUUUAAGCACAGUUGAAUUUCUCAUUAUCUACACUCUGCCCACUUACAACAAACUAUCCAAAAUGUCAACAUUUAUGUGGUUAAAUCUUCCCAUAUAAACAAAAUACAUCCAUAGAAAUAGGAUCAAUUAGGGUAGUCUUUCUCACAUGUAAACCUUUUCCAAAUCGUGAAUUAACAUUAACUAAAAGACAGCACUGUCUCCUUAUUUUUCUUUUAUUUUUUAAGUAUAUUCUUAUCUUCUCAGAAGAAUAAACUAUCUCUAUGAAUAAACACACAUUUUUUGAACACGCUUAAUACUUCGCUUUUUAAAAAAUGAAGUAGUUCUUAGCUACUUUUGAUUUGUUAUUUCUCUUCCUCUUUUAUCUUCUCUGUUUUGUUUGGCUUGCACUGACUCUUUCUCUAGUAAAAGGAUAGGCCCAUUGGGCCUCUAGUGCCUUCCUUCAACAACUGUUUCUCCAUCAUCUUCCUCCUUAUUUUCUGUGCACUUAUCCCAUUAUGGUAAACAUUGUCAUUGGUCACUCAACGUCUAUUCCAUUUCUUUCCUAUGGAGAAGUAAACCUGCAACUGGGAGAAUUAACCUUAUUGUGGUCAGUCUUUGGGCAUUCCAUCCUCUUUGUCAGUAAUACGUUCAAGAAAAGCAUGUGACACAAUAAAGGACAAUGUGAUAUAAAGAAGUACAUGCUGGUAACGUCUGAGAAUGUUCUCUCCACCUCUUACAGAGAACAGUUCAAGUUCAUCCCUUUUGACUUGAACAAAGGGGUAUUAUAGCAGCCCUUGAAAGUCAUUCUACUCCAAAGGGGAACCAGCUUCAGGAGAAAAACAAUAUUCUGGAUGGAGAGCAGAGAGGGAUACAAACUUUAGGACCUGAAAUCAUUCUUGAGCCCCUGGACUCACUGCUAUUUUUACACUCUGCUUUCUUACUGAUAAAAUCUGCCUGGAUUGGUAGUUCAAAGGACCCAAAUUAACACACGUCACUCCACAUAUUUCUAAUGAGACCAGUAAAAUCUGUCACACUGCUGAAGGUUGUCCCCAAUGUCAGCUAAGGUUUUACUUCUUUAUAGUUUCCCUUUAAAAUCGAAGUCAUAAAACACAGAAGAAAGUAGAUUAUUAUUGGUCUCUAUGUCUGAGCAGUUAUUUAUUUUUGAUAAAAAUAUACAAAAAUACAGUAUGAUCAUUUGUUAGGGCAACAGUAAUAAUCUAGACAGUAGCUGUGAUGUUAUCAAGAUAGUAAAGUCAUAGUCCUGUUUUCAAUAGGGACACUUAGGAUGGGAAUGGGCAACAGAUACAUCAAUAAGUAUAAUAUCCAGCCUCUAAUGAGAAAUUGCUCUAGGAUCCUUAGAAGCCAAUUGCAUCACUUGAUGCAACUGAUGCAAGUCAGUGAGGGCCAUUUACCUGCCAGAUGAGGUCAAAUCCAUCUAGAGGACCUAUAUUUAUGUAAGGGAGGGAUUCUAGGGAAAUGAUAUUAUGGGGUAGUUUUUAAUCUCAAGAUUAUUGUCCUUUAAAUCUACUUCUAGCACAGAUGUGAGCUGUCUUCAGAAUGGCUGAUAUGGUCGAUAUCCUUGAGACUAUCAGGGUUAUUUCAAUUUUAAUAUUCUGUCAUUUCUUAUCUAUGGAUCUGAGCACUAAAAGUCUUAAAGAUCUGAAAUUCCACAAUAGCAAUUUUGAGACCAUUUGAUUGAGAUAUGCCUUCAUUCAGCUAGUUGUUGUUCCUAUUUAUCCAUUUAUAUGCAUGUAUAAUUACAAACACACGAAUACUAAUUAAAUAAUAAUACAAAACCCUAAAGGAGAUCAGAACAUGCCAUCCCCAAGUAUAUUGAUUAUUUGGAGUAGAAGGUGACUGAAAUGCAGGAAGGGCUCUCUGAACUCCCCCUUCCUACCUAAAAGCAGGGCACAAAUUUCCCAUGAGAAAGAUGCCCUGCCUGCACAGGAAGAGGAGAAUAUUCCAUUUGUUUGUUUGUUUGUUUGUUUGUUUGUUGCUUUUUAGAGCAGCACUGUGGCAUAUGGAAGUUCCCAGGCUAGGGGUCAAAUUGGAGCUGCAGCUGCCAACCUACACCACAGCCACAGGAAUGCCGGAUCCUUAAUCCACUGAGUGAGGCCAGGGAUCAAGCCACAUCCUCAUUGAUACUAGUCAGGUUCAUAACUCAAUGAACCACAACAGAAACUCUGGAAGAGGAGAGUAUUCUUAUCACUGGAGGCAGAGAGUUGACACUGAGGUGAAUCUGUCAUAUAAACCUACUAAAUCAAACCUUAUUUUACAUUUGUUUCUCCCAUGUAUUUCCCUGCUUAUUUGGACCUUCAUUUUUUAAUAUAUAUAUAUGAAGUAUAUAUAUAAUAAUAUUAACAUCAAGCAAAAUUUGAAUGCUUUUUGCCUGUCUUUUGUCAGUUUAAUUCUCAGGCCCAGUCAUAGGACCUAAAAGGGCAGAAGAAAAAUUUUUUCCUUCCCAGACCUCUCAGCUUGAGACAAAAAUAUGUCUCUUUGUAACUCUAGCAUUUUCUCUUGAAAACUUUGUUUCUGAUUUAAAGCCCCAAACAACUGGAACAUUUAUUUAUUCAAACUAAAAAUUCAUUCUGGUCAUUUGAGAUCUAAUGUAGUCCUCUAAAUGUCUGAUUUGAUGAUUUUUUCCUAUCACAUUAGAUAUUUUCCAUUAUUUCAACAGUGUAAUAAUUGGAAAUAAAAGUAAAUAUGUACCCUAACAAAUAUUUAAUCAGCACCUCUUAUACUUUCUUCUUCUCUAUUACUUAACGCCAAAUGAAUAGUUCAGCAGUAAAACCUCACAGUAAAUUCAGUCAAUGUUAGAUAAACUAACACUUUGGAAGGGAAUAUGUUAUAAUGUUGUACAAUCACUGGUAGAUUAAACACAUGUAAAAAUAAAAUUUAGACACUUAAGAUAUCAAAACAUCUUAAUUCGAAAGUUUAAGAAUUCAACCUUAGAUAUAAGAAUUUCAGCUCUCUAAGGUAAUCAAUGCAUCUUAAAACUCCAAAGUCAAAUUAAUUUAAGUCUCAACAAAUAUUAAGCUAUGUUAUAGGCCAAAUAUGCCAGAUGGAUAUACAUCAUGAAAAACACUUUCAAUUUUUCCCAUGGGGAAAAAUAACUUCCUGAAUCCCUAUUUACUAAGCAACUUCAUCUCCUGCGAGUUAUCCAUUUUCAUCUGUUUAAUUUUUAUUGAUUAAAAACCAGUGUUGUUAAUUUCUCUCCCCUUUGUCUCAGGUACCAGGUAAUCAUAAUAUUAACAAUUUAUAUAUUUUGCUACACCUUAUUUAAUUUACAUG